AGUACUUGGGGGUCUCAUGCGCAGCGAAAAGAAGGACGUUAACGAAUGGGACGCUGUAUUGCAAAGCAACAUGUGGGAUUUGGCAAGUCAAAAUAUUCUUCCAACAUUAAGACUUAGCUACUAUCAUCUCCCAUCUCAUUCAAAACAGUGUUUUGCAUACUGUGCAAUUUUUCCCAAGGGUUAUGUAUACAAAAAGGAGGAAUUAGUUCUUCUGUGGAUGGCAGAAGGUCUUUUAGUCCCAUCAAGAGGAAAUACAGACGCAUUAGAAAUGGAUGAGUCGUGUUUUCAUGAUCUUGUAGCAAGUUCAUUUUUUCAACCCUCAAAAACCAAUGAAAGUGGCUUCAUGAUGCAUGACCUUAU
rnacentral:misc_RNA from 1 species